rnacentral:tRNA from 1 species
UGAACCUUAAGUUAUGUAAACUAAGAGCCCUCCAAGUUCUACAAAAGAAAUUCUUAGGUUUAA